CGCAGCCGCGGUAAUUCCAGCUCCAAUAGCGUAUAUUAAAGUUGCUGCAGUUAAAAAGCUCGUAGUUGAAUUUCGGGACCAAUAUGUCGGUCGUGCCUCGGUACGUACUGGCAUCGUUGGUUUCUCCCUUCUGACGAACCAUGAUGUCAUUUAUUUGGUGUCGUGGGGAAUCAGGACUGUUACUUUGAAAAAUUAGAGUGUUUAAAGCAGGCUCACGCUUGAAUACAUUAGCAUGGAAUAAUGAAAUAGGACGUUUGAUUCUAUUUUGUUGGUUUCUAGGAUCGACGUAAUGAUUAAUAGGGAUAGUUGGGGGCAUUAGUAUUCAAUCGUCAGAGGUGAAAUUCUUGGAUUUAUUGAAGACUAACUACUGCGAAAGCAUUUGCCAAGGAUGUUUUCAUUAAUCAAGAACGAAAGUUAGGGGAUCGAAGACGGUCAGAUACCGUCGUAGUCUUAACCAUAAACUAUGCCGACUAGGGAUCGGAUGAUGUUUAAUUUUUAAUGACUCA
rnacentral:rRNA from 1 species